UACGGAGGGGGCUAGCGUUGUUCGGAAUUACUGGGCGUAAAGGGCGCGUAGGCGGCCUUCUAAGUCGAACGUGAAAUCCCCGGGCUCAACCCGGGAACUGCGUCCGAUACUGGAAGGCUUGAAUCCGGGAGAGGGAUGCGGAAUUCCAGGUGUAGCGGUGAAAUGCGUAGAUAUCUGGAGGAAUACCGGUGGCGAAGGCGGCAUCCUGGACCGGCAUUGACGCUGAACAGCGAAAGCUAGGGGAGCAAACGGG
rnacentral:rRNA from 1 species